rnacentral:rRNA from 1 species
CUCUCGCAAAUUGACACCGUAACUUCGGGAGAAGGUGUGCCCUUGAGGGUGAUCGGCUUCGCGCCGCGAGCCUUUGGGGGUUGCAGAGAAUCGGGGGUAGCGACUGUUUAUCAAAAACACAGGACUCUGCGAAGUCGCAAGACGACGUAUAGGGUCUGACGCCUGCCCGGUGCUGGAAGGUUAACAGGAGAUGUCAGGGCAACCGAAGCAUCGAAUCGAAGCCCCAGUAAACGGCGGCCGUAACUAUAACGGUCCUAAGGUAGCGAAAUUCCUUGGCGGGUAAGUUCCGUCCUGCACGAAUGGCGUAACGACUUCCCCACUGUCUCGACCCGGGACUCAGCGAAAUUGAAAUCGGGGUGAAGAUGCCCCGUACCCGCGGAAAGACGGAAAGACCCCGUGAACCUUUACUGCAGCUUGGCACUGGUUUUCGGAUUUGUCUGUGUAGGAUAGGUGGGAGGCUGUGAAGUGGGGCCGCUAGGUUCCACGGAGCCAACGUUGAAAUACCACCCUGACAAAUCUGAAAGCCUAACCGUGACCCGUAAGCCGGGUCCGGAACACUGCCUGGUGGGUAGUUUGACUGGGGCGGUCACCUCCGAAAAAGUAACGGAGGCGCGCAAAGGUUCCCUCAGGCUGAUUGGAAACCAGCCGUAGAGUGUAAAAGCACAAGGGAGCUUGACUGCAACUCAUACGAGAGGAGCAGGUACGAAAGUAGGCUUUAGUGAUCCGGUGGUUCUGAAUGGAAGGGCCAUCGCUCAACGGAUAAAAGGUACUCCGGGGAUAACAGGCUUAUCACGCCCAAGAGUUCACAUCGACGGCGUGGUUUGGCACCUCGAUGUCGGCUCAUCGCAUCCUGGGGCUGUAGUAGGUCCCAAGGGUUUGGCUGUUCGCCAAUUAAAGCGGUACGCGAGCUGGGUUCAAAACGUCGUGAGACAGUUUGGUCCCUAUCUUCCGUGGGCGCAGGAGUCUUGAAGUGGAUCUGUCCCUAGUACGAGAGGACCGGGAUGGACGAACCCCUGGUGUUCCGGCUGUUUUGCCAGAGGCAUUGCCGGGUAGCUAUGUUCGGAACGGAUAACCGCUGAAAGCAUCUAAGCGGGAAGCCAACCACAAGAUGAGGACUCCCUGAAGGCCCGUUGUAGACUACGACGUUGAUAGGCUGGGUGUGGAAGUGCGGCAACGCAUGGAGCUAACCAGUACUAAUCGGCCGUUUGGCUUGAUC